GAGUUUGAUCAUGGCUCAGAACGUACGCUGGCGGCACGCCUAAUACAUGCAAGUCGAACGAAGUAGCAAUACUUAGUGGCAGACGGGUGAGUAACAUGUAGGUAUCUUCCCUUUGGUGAGGAAUAACACGAGGAAACUUGUGCUAAUACCUCAUAAGUCUUUACGGAGAAAGCUUUAUGCGCCGAUGGAUGAGCCUGCACUUGAUUAGUUUGUUGGUAGGGUAAUGGCCUACCAAGACAAUGAUCAAUAGCUGAUUUGAGAGGAUGAUCAGCCACAUUGGGACUGAGACACGGCCCAAACUCCUACGGGAGGCAGCAGUAGGGAAUCUUGCACAAUGGGGGAAACCCUGAUGCAGCGAUGCCGCGUAAGUGAAGAAGGCCUUUGGGUUGUAAAGCUCUUUCGUCGGGGAAGAAAAUGACUGUACCCGAAUAAGAAGGUCCGGCUAACUUCGUGCCAGCAGCCGCGGUAAUACGAAGGGACCUAGCGUAGUUCGGAAUUACUGGGCUUAAAGAGUUCGUAGGUGGUUAAAAAAGUUGGUGGUGAAAUCCCAGAGCUUAACUCUGGAACUGCCAUCAAAACUUUUUAGCUAGAGUAUGAUAGAGGAAAGCAGAAUUUCUAGUGUAGAGGUGAAAUUCGUAGAUAUUAGAAAGAAUACCAAUUGCGAAGGCAGCUUUCUGGAUCAUUACUGACACUGAGGAACGAAAGCAUGGGUAGCGAAGAGGAUUAGAUACCCUCGUAGUCCAUGCCGUAAACGAUGUGUGUUAGACGUUGGAAAUUUAUUUUCUGUGUCGCAGCGAAAGCAAUAAACACACCGCCUGGGGAGUACGACCGCAAGGUUAAAACUCAAAUGAAUUGACGGGGACCCGCACAAGUAGUGGAGCAUGUGGUUUAAUUCGAAGAUACGCGCAGAACCUUACCAACACUUGACAUGUUCGUCGCGACUUUAAGAGAUUAAAGUUUUCGGUUCGGCCGGACGAAACACAGGUGCUGCAUGGCUGUCGUCAGCUCGUGUCGUGAGAUGUUGGGUUAAGUCCCGCAACGAGCGCAACCCUCACUUUUAGUUGCCAUCAUUUAGUUGGGCACUCUGAAAGAACUGCCAGUGAUAAGCUGGAGGAAGGUGGGGAUGACGUCAAGUCCUCAUGGCCCUUACGUGUUGGGCUACACACGUGCUACAAUGGCAUUUACAAUAGGAAGCAAGACGGCGACGUUAAGCAAAUCCUAAAAAAAUGCCUCAGUUCGGAUUGUACUCUGCAACUCGAGUACAUGAAGCUGGAAUUACUAGUAAUCGCGGAUCAGCGCGCCGCGGUGAAUACGUUCCCGGGUCUUGUACACACCGCCCGUCACACCAUGGGAGUUGGUUCUACCUUAAGGCAAAGUUUAAUACCUUUGACCACGGUAUAGUCAGCGACUGGGGUGAAGUCGUAACAAGGUAACC
rnacentral:rRNA from 1 species